AGGGACGCGAUGGUUCUGAUGUCACCUUCCAGGGAUGAACUGCUGCCCCCUCGAGGGAGGAGGGUUGCACUGCAGCUGGAGGCUGAGCUGAGAACCGGUCCCUUCCUUAACCGAAACCCAAAGGAGGCGGAGGAGUAAGGAAGACCUAGUGGAGAGCAAAAGCUGGAAGGAGACCUAAGAAGUACUCUCUAGUCCAACCCCCUCACUUCAUAAAUAAGGAAACCAAGGUCCAGGAAGGUUGCCCAAGUUUGCACAAGUGGUUGAAGUAACCCACCAUACCUUGUUUUGCUCACCUCCUGUAACAACACUAGCUUUAA